rnacentral:rRNA from 1 species
AGUAACGAUAAAGCGGGUGAAAAGCCCGCUCGCCGGAAGACCAAGGGUUCCUGUCCAACGUUAAUCGGGGCAGGGUGAGUCGACCCCUAAGGCGAGGCCGAAAGGCGUAGUCGAUGGGAAACGGGUUAAUAUUCCCGUACUUGGUGUUACUGCGAAGGGGGGACGGAGAAGGCUAUGUUGGCCGGGCGACGGUUGUCCCGGUUUAAGCGUGUAGGCUGGUUUUCCAGGCAAAUCCGGAAAAUCAAGGCUGAGGCGUAACGACGAGGCACUACGGUGCUGAAGCAACAAAUGCCCUGCUUCCAGGAAAAGCCUCUAAGCAUCAGGUAACAUCAAAUCGUACCCCAAACCGACACAGGUGGUCAGGUAGAGAAUACCAAGGCGCUUGA